rnacentral:rRNA from 1 species
CAGUCGCCACGGUAAUACGAAGGGUGCAAGCGUUACUCGGAAUUACUGGGCGUAAAGCGUGCGUAGGUGGUGGUUUAAGUCCGUUGUGAAAGCCCUGGGCUCAACCUGGGAAUUGCAGUGGAUACUGGGUCACUAGAGUGUGGUAGAGGAUAGUGGAAUUUCCGGUGUAGCGGUGAAAUGCGUAGAGAUCGGGAGGAACAUCAGUGGCGAAGGCGGCCAUCUGGGACAACACUGACGCUGAGGCACGAAAGCGUGGGGAGCAAACAGGAUUAGAUACCCGCGUAGUCCCUGUCUCUUAUAC